AGGGGUGUGUGUGUGUGUGUGUGUGUGAGUGUGUGUGUGUGUGUGUGUGUGUGUGUGUGUGUGUGUGUGUGUGUGUGUGUGUGUAUGUGUGCGUACGUGCGUGUGCGCGCAGACUUUUGACUGAAUAAGCAGAGGACUGUUACCUCAAGAGGACAUUCCAGAAGAUCUGUGGACCACCACCUGUGUGUUUGAGUCAUGUUCGGUCCUGAACACACACACACCAUGUUAGACACAAAGCAGUGUGUACUCAGACGAAGCAAUCCAACUCAAGGUUUUACAAACAUUCCAAUAAAUGCUGUUGUGAAUAUUCCAAGACAAAUGUGACAAGAUGAUGCCAUCAGAACAGUUCUAGUGCUGUUCCAAUACUGUUUAAGUGCCCUUAUUUUCUUCCCCUUAAGUCCAUAUCACCAGAAUUUUGUAGCAGUGUAGUUAAAGUGAUUUCUCUAACACUCUGUGUAGUUCAUUUUCAUCACAUUUAUGUGCAAACUGUCCUGCUGACUUUUUUAAUAUUUCUUUUGGGCGCUAGCAUGCGCAUGCCCUGGAUUUCAAGCUAACUAGCAGAAUUUAUGUUUAUCUGUUAUUGUUCAGCUUCACAUUUAGCUUCAUCCACCAAAUUUGUUCUUUUGCAAAGGAAAUUGUGUCAGACUGUAAUGGCUUUGGGGUAAAUUUUACAUACACAUGGGUCUCCCUCUAGUCUUCAUGGGCUUCACAUGACCUAAUAUAGAAGUGGAGCAGCUCUCAAAAUGGAAAGGGGAUUCCCUCAAGGGGAAGUGGAUAAUGGCGUGCUGAGAACAGUAUUGCAACACGCAUUUGCAAUGUCAUCGCCUUUCCCUGCAUCUACUCUUUUUAUUUAUGCAACUUUCUCAUGUCUGUCGAAGCAGGAAGGCAUUUUUCAAUUUCAGUGUCAAAAGCAGACAGCACCAUCACAUGAUAACAUUAUAGCUCCAAGGUACAUCCUUUUACAGUGUUCACUCAGGGUUUUAGCUUUUCUCGAACAUGCCUGUAAGCCUUGCUGAGUCACACUAUAUGAAAGACGAUCUGGGUUCGUGAAAUAUCUCUUAAUAUCUGAAGGAUUUUUGUAAACAUUUCACAAAGUACACACAGAGAGUACAUUCCUGUCGACCCUCAGAUACACUUCUGUGUCUGCCCUGGUGGCAGUCCGCACUGAAAAUGCUCCUCUGCACUACAAAUCCUAUGAUUGACUGAAUUUAUUGAUCGGCUUAGCUAUAAAAUUGUUUUGCGAAAAAUUGUGUGUUCCAAUUUUUUCCCCAAUAAAAUCUGCACCACUAAAA